rnacentral:rRNA from 1 species
UACGAAGGGGGCUAGCGUUGCUCGGAAUCACUGGGCGUAAAGCGCACGUAGGCGGAUUGUUAAGUCAGGGGUGAAAUCCUGGAGCUCAACUCCAGAACUGCCUUUGAUACUGAAGAUCUUGAGUCCGGGAGAGGUGAGUGGAACUGCGAGUGUAGAGGUGAAAUUCGUAGAUAUUCGCAAGAACACCAGUGGCGAAGGCGGCUCACUGGCCCGGUACUGACGCUGAGGCA